rnacentral:rRNA from 1 species
CAUGCAAGUCGAACGGACUUACAUUGAAGCCUAGCGAUAUGUAAGUUAGUGGCGGACGGGUGAGUAACGCGUGGGUAACCCGCCUUGUACUGGGGGACAACAGUUGGAAACGACUGCUAAUACCGCAUAAGCGCACAGCUUCGCAUGAAGCAGUGUGAAAAACUCCGGUGGUACAAGAUGGACCCGCGUCUGAUUAGCUGGUUGGUGAGGUAACGGCCCACCAAGGCGACGAUCAGUAGCCGGCCUGAGAGGGUGAACGGCCACAUUGGGACUGAGACACGGCCCAAACUCCUACGGGAGGCAGCAGUGGGGAAUAUUGCACAAUGGGGGAAACCCUGAUGCAGCAACGCCGCGUGAGUGAAGAAGUAUUUCGGUAUGUAAAGCUCUAUCAGCAGGAAAGAAAAUGACGGUACCUGACUAAGAAGCCCCGGCUAACUACGUGCCAGCAGCCGCGGUAAUACGUAGGGGGCAAGCGUUAUCCGGAUUUACUGGGUGUAAAGGGAGCGUAGACGGUUUUGCAAGUCUGAAGUGAAAGCCCGGGGCUUAACCCCGGGACUGCUUUGGAAACUGUAGAACUAGAGUGCAGGAGAGGUAAGUGGAAUUCCUAGUGUAGCGGUGAAAUGCGUAGAUAUUAGGAGGAACACCAGUGGCGAAGGCGGCUUACUGGACUGUAACUGACGUUGAGGCUCGAAAGCGUGGGGAGCAAACAGGAUUAGAUACCCUGGUAGUCCACGCUGUAAACGAUGAUUACUA